GACUACAGGGGUAUCUAAUCCUGUUUGCUCCCCACGCUUUCGCGUCUCAGCGUCAGUUACCGUCCAGAAGGGCGCCUACGCCACUGGUAUUCCUCCCGAUCUCUACGAAUUUCACCUCUACACCGGGAAUUCCCCCUUCCUCUCCAGUACUCAAGAAAAACAGUUUCCAAUGCGCUUCCCAGGUUAAGCCCAGGGCUUUCACAUCAGACUUGUCCCCCCGCCUACACGCGCUUUACGCCCAGUAAUUCCGAAUAACGCUCGCACCCUCCGUAUUACCGCGGCUGCUGGCACGGAGUUAGCCGGUGCUUCCUCUGGUGGUACCGUCAAACCUGAAACCUUUCCUCUCCAGGCCUUUCUUCCCACCUGACAGGGCUUUACGACCCGAAGGCCUUCAUCACCCACGCGGCGUUGCUGCGUCAGCCUUGCGGCCAUUGCGCAAAAUUCCUCACUGCAGCCCCCCGUAGG
rnacentral:rRNA from 1 species